GAGGACGCUGUGACCAAACCGCCCUUUCCCCUCGCCGUGCCCGCGGGAAGCGGCAGGCGGGCAGUGGGAGGAGCGGUCCCGCCGGAGAGCCCUGUCAGUGAGGGAGGGAGGGGCCAGGGUGGGCUCCGGCGGGGUGCGCAGCCGGGGCCCGGGGCCCUGGAGCGAGCGGCCGGGAUGCGGUGCGGGAAGAUGGCGGCAGCACCGCCGCCGCCGCCAGCCGGGGCGACGGGCGCUUGGGGCGGCGUGCGGCGGCGCUGCCAGCGGCUGCUCUACUGGGUGCCGGUGCUCUUCAUCUCCAGCAUCCUCUGCUGGUCCUACUACGCCUAUGUCACCCAGCUCUGCCUGCUGACAAUGACAAAUAUCGGAGAAAAAGUUGUGUGCCUGGUUGCUUACCACAUAUUUUUCAUGCUGUUCGUCUGGUCAUAUUGGAAAACAAUCUUUACACUACCAAUGAAUCCUUCAAAAGAAUUUCAUCUAUCAUAUUCAGACAAGGAGUCCCUGGAAAGGGAGCCUAGAGGUGAAUCCCAGCAGGAAGUCUUAAGACGAGCAGCCAAGGAUCUUCCUAUCUAUACACGGACAAUGUCUGGAGCAAUCAGAUACUGUGACAGAUGCCAUCUUGUAAAACCAGAUCGUUGCCACCACUGUUCCGUAUGUGACAAAUGCAUUUUGAAAAUGGAUCAUCAUUGCCCAUGGGUGAACAACUGUGUGGGAUUCUCCAAUUACAAAUUUUUUCUUCUGUUCUUGGCUUACUCUCUGCUGUACUGCCUUUUUAUUGCUGCAACAGACUUACAGUAUUUUAUCAAGUUUUGGACAAAUGGCCUUCCUGAUACUCAAGCCAAGUUCCACAUCAUGUUUUUGUUCUUUGCUGCAGCUAUGUUUUCUGUCAGUUUGUCCUCCCUCUUUGGGUAUCAUUGUUGGCUUGUCAGCAAAAACAAGUCUACAUUAGAGGUAUUCAGAGCUCCCAUAUUUCGUCACAGAACAGACAAGAAUGGCUUUAGCUUGGGCUUCAGCAAAAACCUAAGGCAGGUGUUUGGUGAUGAGAAGAAAUACUGGUUGCUGCCUGUAUUUUCAAGUCUAGGGGAUGGUUGCUCCUUCCCAACUUGCCUUGUUAAUCAGGAUCCUGAGCAAGCUUCCACACCUGGUGGUCUUAGUUCAACAACCAAAAGUGAGAACCACUUGUUUCCUGCAAAGCCCUUGCGUGAUUCCCAGAGCCACCUUCUCACAGAUACACCCUCUUGGUCAGAAACUAGUGUGAAGGCUGAAAAGGACAAAGUUGGCAUGAGCAAUCCUGCACUAACUAUGGAAAAUGAAACCUAAUUUCCCUUGAAACAAGCAUCUGAAUAUGUAAGGAAAGUUCAAGAGGAAGCUGUCGUUGGAAGGAAGAUGCAUUUCUUCCAAAUACCAGCGCUGCUGGCCAGCUGCUCCUGCCUGCUCCUGUGUGGAUGUGCUCAGAAAACAAACCAACAAGAUGAUUAACUGUCUCUAUGUCACUGCUUGAAACAUGAAACUAAACAUACAACUUCUGAACCAUAUAAAGAAUGUUUUAACUUGAAAAUUACUGGGUUUGAAUGGUGAAGGAUGAUUCUGGGUAUUAGAAAGGGGGGGAAAAAGAGUCUGAGUUUACAGUUGUGAAAAUUCAAAGGCUGGUUUUACUUUGAUACUCAGCACAAGAACAAUGUGACCUCCUUACACAUCGGUCUGUCAUCUUGCCUUGGUUUUAAAAAUCCACCUGUUAAUUAGAAUUGCUCUAAGUAGUUGACUUUAUAAUCAAAGUUUUGCACUGCUGCCUUUAAGAACUGGGAGGAGAGCCAGUGUUGAUGAUGAAUAAUGUAGCGGCUUGGUGGACCCUAUUUUCUUUUGAGUGCUUGCUAAGCAAUUUUUGAAGAUAAGGAAAUCCAAGCAAAGUAUCUGACUGUUUUUGGAAGACAUCAUUGCAGAAGCUCUGUUUUUUCUCAGAGAUCUGCAUUAGCAGUAACCCGGAAAGCUGUGGAGGGGUAAAAAACUCCUAUGUUAAUUGAGUGCUACGGUGGAUCACUGGUAAGUGGAGCGAUUAAAAAGCUGCAUUCAGAUAGGUGAUACAGAAAUGAAGUUGGCCAGGUGGGGGGUUUGAUGGGAGCUGCACAUGAUAGUGCUGUGAAAUGAGGAUUUUAUUGUCCCGUCUGGAGCUGUUAACCUCGUUGGGAAAUUAAUGCUGGCACUUAACUUUGAUCCGAAAGGUUUUUUAUCAACCUGUGUUCCUGAGGGCCACUGUCUUUCCAAAUCUUAGAUUCUCAUUACUCGACAGUUGUCUUAGGUUUCUUUUUUCACUUGUUCUUUAAGACACUGCCUUUCUUGCUGUGUAAUUAACAAAUAUCCUGUACAGUCAAGGAGACUUACUAUUCUAACUUGUGAUACUUGCAUUUACAGGACAACAGAUGGUUGUUUGCAAUACCAAAAAGCAGAGCUGCUGCAGAUAGGAAAACCCCCUUCAAUUGAGCUAGGAGUUGGCAGCUUCCUUAGGAUCUGAGUUUAUCAGCCAGGUGAAAAACCCUGUGUCUUCAUGCUGGCAGAGCAAACACAACUGCACUCCACUGGGUGCUGUUGAAGGUCAAAAAGGUAUAAUACUGUCUGAAAGAGAGGGUUCUUCAAACCCCCACCUUGUUAUAUAGAACUGUGGAGCUGUGAGGAAGGGAAAUAUGUUACUUAACCAGGGUUGUCACCUACAGUAGCUUUGCUUCAUGAGGGCUCUUCAGUCCCUCCCAUGCCAGAUUCUUGCUGUCUGCUUGAAUUCUGCUCUUUGCUAACAGUCUAGGAAAGCACAGAAUCCUCCACUGGUGCAGAGAGGAAUGAGACCAUCUGCUCUGGGGCCUCUUGAAAUGCUGAAGGAGUUAUACAGAGAUGAAAGCAACUUUUACCUGUUCAGUUAGGACAUGACCUACACACCAUAUGCUCUGAGCAGCUCCCACUUCUUAAUUAAAAUGCUUUUAGAAAUAUUUAUAUUGAACCAUAUACAAAUAUUAUCCAAAACAAGGAGAUUAAAAAUAAACCCCAAAACCAUACUGCUAUGCUAGAGAGGUGGCAGUGUGUCUUUCUUGUCACUUCACUUGCACUAUCCCUUGUUCAUCUGUGACCUGACAAGACACCAGUUAAAACGGCAGCCUUCUGGGGUGAAAUUUAGAGCAAGUGGCAUCUGACACAAGCUAAGGAAAGCCUUCCCUACUUGCUUUGCAGUUUUUCAGUUGUUCCCUUUUUACAUUUUUUUGGUCAUCAUUCUUCUCUGUCUCUGCCCUUCUGUAGAAGUCCAGAUUGAAAAGACUAACUUGAAAGGUACAAUCAAAUAACAUCUCCAUCCUCUUUAUUCCUCUCCCUCUCAAGUUUAUUCCAGAUAGAGAAUUCCUUAAUUUCUCCAAGUAUUCCUGAUGCACCCAUCACCACAACAGUAACCCAGUCAUCCUGAAACCUGGCUGUGCAGUUUCCAGUAUUUGGGGCAGUGAUUAUGUGCUUCAUCCUAGAUCACUCUAAUCUUGUCAAGCAGAUGGGCCCAACAGUUUGACUGCAGCAGUUGGAAGAACGUGCUGUGAGCUGUGUCCCCUUUCCCACCUCCUGCAUGCCCACAGUUUAAAUGAUUGGCGUAACUGGCACAGACCCAGCACUUCCUGACAGUCAUCAUUUUGUGAAGUCAUUUUCCUUUUUCUUCUGAGAACAAAAUAUUUCUCUAGCUCUCCUAAGAUGGAAUCUUGGUUAUAAAUCCAAAAUACAGUGUGUACGAACUGUGAGGUACAGCCCAAACAGUUAUUAGAGGUUAAACUGGUCAGUAAUUCACACAGAUACAACAGAGAAGCUCAGUGAUGGUAGAAGCACACUAGCAAUUAACCCUUCAUGUAAAAGACUACUGUAGGCACUACAGAUAUGCUCCAGAGCAUGCACAGGGACAAGAAUGAAGGACAGCAGUGAGUUUGCACAUCUCAGCUAUUAUAUGAUGAAAGCUAAAAUAAGGAUGCUGCCAACUGCAAACAUAAGUGAUUUGCUACCCUACAGAAGAUGAAGCAUAUUCUCUCUGCUACAGUUCAAAAGUUCAGCUGCUGCCAAUUCCUACCUGAUGCAUAGAGAAGGGAAGGAUUCCCUUCUUUCUCCAUCUCUCUCCCUCACAUAUUCUACAGCACAGUGUCUCAGCUAACACAGGAAAGAGCACAUUGGCAAGACAAUCCUCCCACUUCCACAGAGGCAGGAAAAAAAAUCAUCUGUGAUGGCAGAAAAAGGAUGAGACAAGCCUCUGCAGAAGUCAGAUCUUCACAGUUGGCAUCAGUGAGCACAUUUCAUUUCCAACCCAAGUCUGCUAAAAUAAUGUAGGAGAAUCCUUCUUGUUUCUCUGCCAUACUUAGGCAGGAGUGAAGAAAAAAAAACAAAGCAAUCUCCUAUAAACCAACCAAGGUACACUAAAAUUCAGAUAUAUCAGAAAAAAUAACUUCAUGGUAGGAACUGGAAAGAAUGUAGAGACAAUCAAUAUGUAAAAAAUAAUUCAUGUUUUGUUUUGUGAGAUUCUGUUCAAACUCUACAAUUUGUGGUAGCUGAAUACCAGCAGUUCUGCUGGAGACUUGGCUGAGACACACUGCUCUCUGCCUGUUUAGGCUCCCACAUUUCAAGCACUACUAGUGAAAUUAUCUUUGGUAUGGUAAUUUCAAGCUAAGUAAAACCAGAUGAACAAUAAUUGAUUCCCCGAGGCACGCUGUCUCCUUUUGCUUCAAGAGCUCAGGAUGCUCUGUUGGCUCAAAGUGGAACCAACCACAUCUCUCUUCUUUCAGCAAAAUACACUGUUGCAAGGGCAAAAGCCUACAUGAGGAGGCAAAGCAUGCACAUUAAACAAAGACUGGCUGUAAGGUUUGGUCUUCUAGUCCACGUUAUGCAACAUGAAGUAACCACUCAGUCUUCAUUGUGUGGACUGUCCUCUGUGACCAACAAGCAUAUGUACCUCAUGGAUGCAGAACGCCCAUACUAUACACCCUUAUCUAUUUCAGACACUAGGAUCUGGUGCAGUCUACACAAGCAUGCUUUAGUAUCAUACAAGAGUUAUCACUAGAUGGGACUUGUAGAGAUCACCUAGUCCGUGUGCCUGCUCAAAGGAGGGUAAAAUACAGACAGCUGGUCAGAGACUAUUGCCCUUCAUACAUCUAGGCUAAAUACUUCCAGUCGCCACCUAAUCCAUUCUGUGAUUGAGAAUGGUUUCUAAGAGUAUCUGCUCACUUUACCUUGAGGUGAGGCUGACCAGGCUACAGUUCUCUGCAUCCUCCUUGCCCUUCUUGAAGACAGAACUGACAUCUGUUCUCUUCCACUCCUUAGGAAGCCACCCGUACUGACCUCAGAAGAAUGGAGUUAACUUUUAGGCUGAAUAAUGAACUGAUCUGAAGGUAGGAUAACAAGAAUGGGAGGCCCUUAGAAACAAACCACAGCAAUUAAGAACAGUAUCUAAAGGCAGUAAUAUUCUGUCAGCUGUUGUAGGUAGUGCCUCGUUGUGGCUUCUUUACAUAAACCAGAGAGAUCUGGACAAAGAUCAAAGCACUGAUGAUUUUAAGACCCAAAUACAGAAUUUAUGUUUAAAUGUUGGGCCACUUUAAUAAAAGAAAAUUGAUGACAUUAUAUAGUAUAAUGAGUUAGGCAGUUGAAGGAGCAUGCAUACAAAUAUUUGUCUGAUGUAAAACCAUACAACCAGUCCUGUAUGCUUUGUUCCUGCUGUAUGUGGGCUGCUGCUGUUUGAGCUAACAGUGUGCUGGAUUCGUGGAACUGCCACCUAGCACCCACCUUUGUGCAAACAUGAAACGAAACACCUCAGCUGUGAGUGCAUACUGGGGUGUUGCACACUGAGUGAACAACCCUGCUUUCGGGAUAACAUCACCUCACUGACUUGUCAAGGACAACGAGAACAACCUCACAAUGGCAUCGGUCAGGUCUCUCCAGCACUUUUGGGUGCAUCCUGUCAAGGUGCCCUGAGCUUCUUUAUACCCAUUUUGGUUUUGUGUUACUAACCUGAUCCUCCUCCACCAAAGAGAAGUUUUUUCUUAUUCCAGACUUUCCCAGGCAUCUCAGAGACAAGAUUUGCCUUCAGCAAUCCCAGAAGAGCCAGGAAAAGGUGAGACCAUGUGUCUUGGCCUUUUCUAUAUCCUUUGCUACUAGGUUUCCUGCCUGCAUUCAGCAUAUUUCUUUGCUCCUAGAAUCCCUGUAUAUGCUUUUGCCUUUCAUGAGAUUCAACUCCAGAUAGACUAUGGCUUUUUUAACCCAAUUCCUACAUGCUUUAAGACAGUGUUACCUGGCCCUGCUUCCACCUUUCAUACACUUCCACGUCUGAGUUUAGUCAGCAGCUUCUUGUUCAUUGGUGUAGACUUCCAGCUGUUUCAUUUCCUGUGUGAGAGAAUGAAUCAUUCUUGAGAUUGCAGUAACCACUUAGAUACGAUUUGAGAAGGUGCCUGCACGUCAGAGAUUGCAGGUCAUCCUCAGAUUUGUAGGGGGAAAGUACUUCAAUUACUCUGGAUUUGUUCUAGACCUAUUCUGUCUCGAAGAUCCUUCUUGCCUAGUUUUAAGGAGCAAAUGGAUUAAAUGCUUACCAAAAAAAAAAAUGUGAGAGAACAUAAUGUUCCUGUAACACACUUCUGACUCCAGAAGCCUAAAAUACAAGUGAAUAAAAAGAGGAGAAGUAUCAAAUAUAACAGGUUUUGAUACUGCAUUUUUCCUGACAAACCCACUCAGACAAUAAUGUAUUUUAAAUGGAUUGGGAAGAGCAGAGGGCUGGAAAGAGAAUUCCUGUCUCUGAACAAAAAGGUGCCUGUCUAGACAGCUGGAGCUGUGCCUGCAAAAGCAAUUAAAGCUGUCCACUUUGGAAACAGAUUUAGAUUUCAGGCUCUGCAGUUUACAAGUAACAGUCCAACACGUAAGAAAUGACUCUUUUCAUAAUCUCUACAAUUCACCAUUUAAAUCACUUCUUAAUGGAAACUGAAUCUAAUUUUGCCACAGAAGGGGAAUGAUGCACAGAUGUCUCCCCGGCUGUAAUCAACUUUCAGCUGAGCACAUUGAGCAGACCAAGAGUUCUCACACAGAAUAAAUGACAAUCUUCGUUUC